GAUGAACGCUGGCGGCGUGCCUAAUACAUGCAAGUCGAGCGAACAGAUGAGGAGCUUGCUCCUCUGACGUUAGCGGCGGACGGGUGAGUAACACGUGGAUAACCUACCUAUAAGACUGGGAUAACCUCGGGAAACCGGAGCUAAUACCGGAUAAUAUCUUGAACCGCAUGGUUCAAUAGUGAAAGACGGUUUUGCUGUAUCUUAUCGAUGGAUCCGCGCCGCAUUAGCUAGUUGGUAAGGUAACGGCUUACCAAGGCAACGAUGCGUAGCCGACCUGAGAGGGUGAUCGGCCACACGGGAACGGAGACACGGUCCAGACUCCUACGAGAGGCAGCAGUAGGGAAUCUGCCGCAAUGGGCGAAAACCUGACGGAGCAACGCCGCGUGAGUGAUGAAGGUCUUCGGAUCGUAAAACUCUGUUAUGAGGGAAGAACAAAUGUGUAAGUAACUAUGCACGUCUUGACGGUACCUAGUCAGAAAGCCACGGCUAACUACGUG
rnacentral:rRNA from 1 species